AGAAGUUCACCUGUGGCCAGUAGAUGAGGAUGGGAUGAUUUCAGAGCAUGUGAUUGUACCAGAUCUCUGUCUUUUCCUUGUUAUAAUGAAGUCUUGUUGUCACAGUUCCUCGUAGUUUUGACCUGCUGAAACGGAGAAAAUUGCAAUUGGGUGGAGAAAAGGUGAUCCAGUUGAAAUCCAGUUGGACAGCUCUGUGGAUCUCUCAGAUGACUUGGAGGCUACAAAUGCAAGGCUCUGGUACUCACGGUGUACUUUUACCACUUCUGGAAUGCCACAGAGAAGGGCACCAGCAAACCAGGAGGUUUUUGGAGAGCAUUGGUGAUAACUUCCUGACACAAGUGGUUGAGGACUCAAUGAAAUGAGACACUGCGCCUGGGCUGAAAGAAGGACUGGUUGGGGUUAGACUUGGCUGUAGCAACUGUGAGUUGGCUCAGACCUGAAUCUGGAGGGAACAGACCAAGGCCAGUAACAGAGCUGCAACAGUGGACUUCAGGAGAGCAGACUCUGCAACCUGCUUGGAAGAAUCCCAUUGAAUGUGACCCUGGAGAGGAAAUGGGUUCAGGACAGCUAAUUGAUUUUCAAGCAUCUCUUAUUCCAAGCUCAAUGCUCCAUCCAAAUGUUAAGCAAGAGCAGCAGGAGGCUGCAUGGAUGAACAAGUAGAUCAUGAAAAAACAAAUGAACAAGCAAGAAAACAGACAUAGAAAUGUAUCCUACAAGACAUUGAAGUGGAAUCAGGUGACCUUGGAGGAAUAUAGAGACAGAGCUUAGCAUGUAUGGAUGUGGGGCUAGGCAAACCAUGUUAACCUGCCAUGCUUGCUUUGCUGCUUCUGUACUGGACUGAUGCAGUGUUUAGCUGAGAUGCUGACGUAACCGUAAACAACCUUUAUGGUUUAGUGCUGUCCAAAGUGUGGAAUUAUGAAACCAUCUUAGAUUGCAAGGAACUUGGUUUGAUAGCUGGAACUGGAUCCAGUAAGCAUCCUGUGGAGUGAUGGUAGUGAUAUUUGGCUGGAGGAUGGAACAAUUAGGAAAGUUUAUAUAUUCACUGGUUCUUCUCAGGGUGUAAAUGACAAAUCUUUUCGCGUAUUCAGAAUUUACUUUAGAAUGCUGACAGUGCAGAUCUUACUUGGCUGCCUUUAUAAUGACUUUACUUUUCAUUACUGGAAUUAUGAAAAUGUUCUAACACACCUAUCUGUCCAGUUUUUAAUUGUAUACAACUUAAAGGGAAAGGGAAUAUCUCUGGGCUCAGAUAAAGCUCAAAUCUUAUUAGACUUGUCUAGGAGUAGCUUAUCUGCUGUUCUUAACUACUAGCUGCAGACAAAGUAUGUUGCAGCUUCUGUACCUGUUUUGAUCGGUCUUUGUCUUAUUUUGUUUUUCCUAAAGACUCACAGAGACACCUUCCUUCAUCUCUGUAAUGGAAUGUUUAACACUUUUACCUGCUUCAUGUUUGAUCGCUCAUAAUUAACACUUAGGAUCAUUUGCUAUCCAUUGUCAAUAUCUAACACUGUGAGGAUACCACCCAUACUUCUGAAAAUACUGCAUGGUUUUCUCUGUUACACAGCUGUGGUCUCAUUGUAUGUGGAGUACCCCCUAGGACGCAGCACACAAUAGCUUGCAUUCUUUCGUGUUUAUAGUGUUUAUAAUAAGAGUAAAAACAAGUGUAGGUUUAAAUGUUGUUAGCAUGCAUGUGAGAAAUUCCAUGUUUCCUCGAUGUGCUGACUGGGAUUAAUUACACACACCCUGAGGGUGUUUAUGCCCAUCAACAGCAUUAUUCCUGUGAGUCAUUUCAGUUUCUUCAUUGAUGCUAAACCAUUCUGAGGUAGUCAUUAGGAAGAAAAAUGUUUGUUCUUGUAUUCCUGGCACAGAAGAGAAUGUUUCUAGAGCUGUUAGAGGAAAUGCAGAACUUGUCUCCUGAAGCUGGAUGCACAUUAUCCAAUCACAACCUGAUAGUUUUCUCCCAGGGGAUUAGAGUUUGAAACAAUAUAGACUGCAAUAAGGACUGAUGCUCUGCUUCUUUCACUUUUAGGUGGUAUUUAGCUCCAUAAAAAU
ensembl:lncRNA